GGUGUCAACAAUUAAAAAAUUUACAAACACAGAAAACUCAAACGCACUGGUUUGGUUUGAUGAAAAUCAAAUUGAACCAGACAAAACAUGUAUUGAAAAUGAAGAAUCAUAAAUUUAUUUUUUGAUGAAACAACAUAAUUUUCAUGUUUUUCUUUUUUGCCGCAAGAGUGGCAGUAUGGGGGAGAAAGACUCUCGGAGACACAAAGUCCAUAUUACACAGUCUUUUCAACAACGAAUGUUGUAGUUGGUAUAACAAUACCUAACAAAAGAACGUACAUAACAAAAUAUGUAAACAAAACAAUCACAAAAAUAUUGUUUGUGAAAAAAGGCAAAAAUAUCGGUUUCUGAAAACGGAAAACGGGGUUCGAUAGUAAAUAACUAGUGCUAUCGAAAUCCAGGGAUGUCACUUGCGAAAAAUUAGAAGUUUCUAGUGUGUGUAAAAUCAAUGUGAAAAACUUAGAGAUAUUCGGCUUUAUACGAACACACAAGUAAUAUGAUCUGUCAAAAUUUUUUGCAGAAUAGGACGGAUGGGUCCUCUAUGAAGAAAAACUUUUUAACAAACUUUUUUCAACUUUAACAAAUUUUUUUUCGAGUUACAAAAUUAUAAAAAAGCAUUGCUUUAUUUAUAAAUUUGUGAAAAAUUUUCAUAAAAAUGAAAAUCUUAUUUAAGCACCAAAACUGAAAUAUAUAAUCGAUAGGGAAUCGAAAAAGGAAUCGAUCUCUCUUUAAGUAUUCUUCGCGGUGCUUGCUAUGAUGUGUGAUGUAACAAACUUUAAAGAAAUUAAAAAUUUAACAAAAAGCGUUUAUACUUAAAAGAAUUAAAAAUAUUCUUUGAGCAAGAAAACAGUAAAUAGUGCCCGAUGGGGAAUCGAUAGACUGAAUUGAUUUCAUUUAUUGCGCGUUUUUAUGAUUUUCUUUUGGUUUUAUUCUAUAGCGCGUUUUUUUAUUUUUUUUUAAUUUUCUUGUUUUCUUAUUAGAGAAAGAGGAUUUGUUGGAGAAAAUCUAAAGUAUUCUUAUUGAAAAAAAUUUAUGAAUUUACUAACAUUCUUUUGUUUUCUUUACAGAAAAUUAACAAAAUAAGUCACAAUGAGCACAAGAAGAUGUAUUAAAGGUUGCCCCCCAGGCGAGCAGCUCCAUUACUUCCCUACCGAUGCUAAAAGUCUGAAAUCAGCAAACCUCAAGAACUGUGGCCAAGAUGCACUGAGACCAUGAUGAAACCUAGUUUCUCCUAACAGCUUGUGACAUUGCGGUUGAAAUUUUGACAAUAAAGAAGCACCUUUUACUGAAGUUUCCAAAUGCUGAAGUUUCUGAUGUUUCCAAAUGUCUGUGUUAAGUAACCCCAGUUUUUACAAACAAAUUUAACAUCAGAAUACAAUUCAACAAUCAUCACAAUCGUUUUUUUUAUUGUAUUAUUUUAACAAAAGUAAUUGUUUAUAUGUUUAACUCGUUUUUAUUUAUAUAUCUUUUUUUGUGUAAUUAAAAAUGAAUUGAAGAUGAAAAUAAUCAGUAAUCUGCAUAAUAUUUAAUAAAUAAAACUAUUAUUUUGUUUCCAAUUGACUUUUAGUUAAUUUUUAUUAUUUUUCUUUUUAAAUUUUAUUUCAAUAAAUGUAUAUACUAUUUGUAAAAGUA
rnacentral:lncRNA from 1 species